rnacentral:lncRNA from 1 species
UACACCUUGAGGCUUGUUAUUUGGUUAGUAUAUCCUAUGCAUCAAUCAUGAACCAAAUUACAAUUCAAAUAGUUGAUCUUAAGAGCCUCUAACUUAAUGAAAAAGGGGGAGAAUAAUGUGUUGAAUUUUCUUGAGUAUCUCAUAGAAAAUCUAUUUUGGAAUUCACUAAUGAGUCCUAAUUGGCUUGCUCUUUAGAACUUCAAUCUUGUGCCAAUUCAUAUCUCUAUAUAUGAAUCAAAUUGUGCUUAUUUUCUAAAAGAAUAAAAGAAAGUUUGUAAAAGAGCUUUAAAAGAACCUUCAAAGCUUUGAACUUUAUGUAUUCUCUAAGAUAUAUCAAAAUUGUAUGAAUCCAUAUAUUGGUAUUUGUGCCCCAAUGCUCUUAUUAUCAUAAAAAAACUUUGAAGUCAUUAAGAGUUAAUGAUCCAACUUGAUGAUAUGUUUUUCGAGUAUAUAAGUUUUGAUCUUAUACUCUGAAAAUUAAUUAAAUUGCUCUCAUGUUGAUAAAAUACUUAA